AUUGAACGCUGGCGGCAGGCCUAACACAUGCAAGUCGAACGAGUGGCGGACGGGUGAGUAAUGUCUGGGAAACUGCCCGAUGGAGGGGGAUAACUACUGGAAACGGUAGCUAAUACCGCAUACCAUCAGAUGUGCCCAGAUGGGAUUAGCUCGUAGGUGGGGUAACGGCUCACAUAGGCGACGAUCCCUAGCUGGUCUGAGAGGAUGACCAGCCACACGGGAACGGAGAAACGGUCCAGACUCCUACGGGAGGCAGCAGUGGGGAAUAUUGCACAAUGGGCGCAAGCCUGAUGCAGCCAUGCCGCGUGUGUGAAGAAGGCCUGCGGGGUGUAAAGCACUUUCAGCGGGGAGGAGUUACCCGCAGAAGAAGCAGCGGCUAACUCCGUGCCAGAAGCCGCGGUAAUAC
rnacentral:rRNA from 1 species